AUGGAGGCUUUCAGAAACAUAGACCUUGAUAAAGACAAUAGUCUCACGAAGGCCGAGGUAAAGGAAUACUUGAAAGCGGACUACGAAAAAAGUGGAAAGCCACGUGAUGACGCUUUCUAUGAGAAGAUUAUGGCUGACAUAUUCCGCAAGAAUGACCAAGACAGAGACGGACUGAUCAGUGCAAAGGAGUAUAAUAUUUAUGAACAUGAUGAGCUCUAGUGUUUGAUCUUGGUAAUUAUUUUAGUUUCUGUACUUUGAUCAAUUAGAAAGAAACCAUGAAUAGGUAAGGGGAAAAUCCACCAUCAGAUGUACAUACACUGGGGAUUUUCAGUACUUUCUGGGUGUUAUUUUGUGAUGAAACUUUACUUUUCUGGUCUACUCAUGUUACUCCAACAUGCCUUGUCACUUCUACUUCAGUUAGUGGUUUCCUACUUUCCGUAGAAUGCCUUUUGAGAGUCCCUUGGCACAAAGCUACUGUGGAAGUAGAAAAGUGUAUGUCUUCCUCUCUGUGGUUGGUUUCACCCCAUACGAUUUUCCAGCACCAGUUCAAUGGUGCAAAUAUAGAGAGAAGUCUUGGCUCUUUGAGUCACUGACUCCAAAACCUUACAUCGUUAUUGGUAAUCUUUUUGAAAUGGUUUUGCUAUGAAAUGAAUAGAUUCUGGGUGGAUUUUUCCUUUUUAAAAUGCAGACAGGACAUAGAUGUGUUGAGGUAUUUAAACAGCUUUCCCAGACAGAAAACUAGCAUCUACAUGUUUUGUUUUUUAAAGUUAAAACUGUGCAAGAAAGAACAUCUCCAACGCCUGUGAAAACCUUUGAUUUUUGCGCAAAUACCACUCAAUUUUAGCAUUUGAAUUUUUUUAUUUGUGUCUUAAGUUUUGUCUUUUGGUGAACAUUGAUUCAAUUUGCAGCACAAAGAAGAAACCACAGGAUUGCACCAUGCUGUGGAAUCAGGGGCUUAGAGGUAACAUGUGAGAUUUUAAAAGGUUUAACCAGAAAUGAGAAAGGAACUUAAAUUGUUCAACCUUCCUGUGAACAUCCUGCCCUCUAAUCUGCAUCAUCAUAUUGAAAAGGUGACUUCAAACACUAUUCUUUUCUUCUUAAAUCCAAUUUAAACCUAAAGCCUUCAAGAAAUCAGAUGUGGCAGUGUUGGAGAAGAGAAGUUUCAACAUGGUUGAUGAUAAAAUGCACAUGUAUGUCAGACAUGUUUACAAGUUUUGUGUAAGUCUUUAUGUGGUCAAACUCAUGACUAUCAUUGUAUCCAGCUGAACAAUUGUUUUUACUAAUGCAAUAAAUAAAUCAGUGUGUGUGGAAAACUC